rnacentral:rRNA from 1 species
UACGUAGGGUGCAAGCGUUGUCCGGAAUUAUUGGGCGUAAAGAGCUCGUAGGUGGCCUGUCGCGUCGGCUGUGAAAACUCGGGGCUCAACUCCGAGCUUGCAGUCGAUACGGGCAGGCUAGAGUUCGGCAGGGGAGACUGGAAUUCCUGGUGUAGCGGUGAAAUGCGCAGAUAUCAGGAGGAACACCGGUGGCGAAAGGCGGGGUCUCUGGGGCCCGAUAC